rnacentral:rRNA from 1 species
CUGUCGGCCUCGGUCGGACGGCAGGCUCGGGCCUUUCUGCCUGGGGACUCCGUCACACUUAACUGUGGGGCGGUUGGACGCAGGCCGUUUACUUUGAAAAAAUUAGAGUGUUCAAAGCAGGCCUACGCUUGAAUACAUUAGCAUGGAAUAAUGGAAUAGGACUUUGGUGCUAUUUUGUUGGUUUAUGGGACCGAAGUAAUGAUUAACAGGGACAGUUGGGGCCGUUUAUAUUUCGUUGUCAGAGGUGAAAUUCUUGGAUUUACGAAAGAUAAACUUCUGCGAAAGCAUUCGGCAAGGAUGUUUUCAUUGAUCAAGAACGAAAGUUAGGGGAUCGAAGACGAUCAGAUACCGUCGUAGUCUUAACCAUAAACUAUGCCGACUAGGGAUCAGUGGAUGUCAAUUUGCGACUCCAUUGGCACCUUGUGAGAAAUCAAAGUUUUUGGGUUCCGGGGGGAGUAUGGUCGCAAGGCUGAAACUUAAAGGAAUUGACGGAAGGG